UACGGAGGGGGCUAGCGUUGUUCGGAAUUACUGGGCGUAAAGCGCACGUAGGCGGUUAUUCAAGUUGGGGGUGAAAGCCCGGAGCUCAACUCCGGAAUUGCCUUCAAGACUGGAUGACUGGAGGCCGAGAGAGGUAAGGGGAAUUCCUAGUGUAGAGGUGAAAUUCGUAGAUAUUAGGAAGAACACCAGUGGCGAAGGCGCCUUACUGGCUCGGACCUGACGCUGAGGUGCGAAAGCGUGGGGAGCAAACAGG
rnacentral:misc_RNA from 1 species